UGGUAGGGGGCUGGUACGGGUGUAAAUGAGCUGAGCUUUUGGUUGUUCAUACUUGGUUCGUUGAUAUUGAUCCAGGCUCGAGCUCGUGCUAGGUUCGAGCUUUAACAUUAAGGUUCGAGUUCGGCUCGUUUGAAAUAUGUUAAAUUUGAGCCCGAUUCGAGCUCGACUCAUUUUAAGUUUGUUUAUUACAUUAACGAGCUAAGCUCGAGCUCGAGCUCGGCUCGUGCCAAACUUGAUAAACUCAUUAAAACGAACUCGAACACAAGCUCGAUAAGGUCAAGGUUGGUUCGAGUUCGAUAAGCUCGAUCUCAAAUUCAAUAAGUUCGAGCUGGAGCUCGAGCUUGAAUUUGAGUUCAAUAAGCUCGAGCUCGAUUAUUAUUAUAUCUAUUUUACACAUGGUAGGGGGCUGGUACGGGUGUAAAUGAGCUGAGCUUUUGGUUGUUCAUACUUGGUUCGUUGAUAUUGAUCCAGGCUCGAGCUCGUGCUAGGUUCGAGCUUUAACAUUAAGGUUCGAGUUCGGCUCGUUUGAAAUAUGUUAAAUUUGAGCCCGAUUCGAGCUCGACUCAUUUUAAGUUUGUUUAUUACAUUAACGAGCUAAGCUCGAGCUCGAGCUCGGCUCGUGCCAAACUUGAUAAACUCAUUAAAACGAACUCGAACACAAGCUCGAUAAGGUCAAGGUUGGUUCGAGUUCGAUAAGCUCGAUCUCAAAUUCAAUAAGUUCGAGCUGGAGCUCGAGCUUGAAUUUGAGUUCAAUAAGCUCGAGCUCGAUUAUUAUUAUAUCUAUUUUACACA
rnacentral:misc_RNA from 1 species